AUUGAACGCUGGCGGCAUGCCUUACACAUGCAAGUCGAACGGCAGCGCGGACUUCGGUCUGGUGGCGAGUGGCGAACGGGUGAGUAAAGUAUCGGAACGUACCAUUGAGUGGGGGAUAACGUGGCGAAAGUUACGCUAAUACCGCAUAUACCCCGAGGGGGAAAGCAGGGGAUCUUAGGACCUUGUGCUCUUUGAGCGGCCGAUAUCAGAUUAGCUAGUUGGUGAGGUAAAGGCUCACCAAGGCGACGAUCUGUAGCGGGUCUGAGAGGAUGAUCCGCCACACUGGGACUGAGACACGGCCCAGACUCCUACGGGAGGCAGCAGUGGGGAAUUUUGGACAAUGGGGGCAACCCUGAUCCAGCCAUGCCGCGUGAGUGAAGAAGGCCUUCGGGUUGUAAAGCUCUUUCAGCCGGGAAGAAAUCGCACAGGCUAAUAUCCUGUGUGGAUGACGGUACCGGAAUAAGAAGCACCGGCUAACUACGUGCCAGCCGCCGCGGUAAUAC
rnacentral:rRNA from 1 species